UACACUAUAAAGUUGGUCUAAAUGUGCUUUUUCUCUAUCCGAGUUAUUUCCCUUGUUGGAGCUCUUCGGCAUUGAAGAAUACAAAAUGUGUAAAUUGUAAACAAGAUGGCAGACAAUGAAAUCUGCAGUUUUUCUUCUUGUUUUGAAACAUCUUGUUCAUGAAAAUUCUACCUCAAGAGACUCAGAAUUUGAUGAAAAACAGUUGACAAAGUUGGGAUAAUCUUUAAGAAAAGCCAAAGAGUUGAUCUGGACAUGAUGGACAUGAUGAGUAUUUCACGUAUAGCUACUCGUAGAAAAGAAAAUAUGAGGAAAUCAGGGUGGUAUGGGGGCGAAGGCCGAGAGGAUUUUAGCUGUUCCCUUCAAGAUGUCUUUGAAAUAGAGAUCGAGAGAUACAUGUAGUGGUGUGGAAGUCCCCGACCGAUCCCGAUUACAAUGUCCCUUGCAAGAUUUUCCUAAUGAAGAUUCUCAGGAUUACAGAUCCUCUAGCAAGGAGACCACACAGAUAGAGAUGACCAGAGCAGAGGACAUACAACCCCCCCCCCCCCCCCCCAAAAAAAAAAAAAUUUCACAGUGGACUGGAAGUAAAUUUUACAUGAAUAUUACAAAGUAGGAAAAAUAACAGAAAGAAAAGAGGAUCCAGUAAAAGUUGUCACUGGUGCAAGAUGGACAUAGAGAGGGUUUUCUAAUGAUCAUUACUAAAA